rnacentral:rRNA from 1 species
AGGGUUUGAUUAUGGCUCAGAUUGAACGCUGGCGGUAUGGCUAAAACAUGCAAGUCGAGCGCGAACGCCCUUCGGGGUUAUUAGAGCGGCGUAAGGGCGAGGAAUCCAUUUCUACGUACCCCAAGGUCGAGGAUAGCUCAGGGAAACUUGAGGUAAUACUCGAUGUGGUGCUUCGGCAUCAAAGGCUUGCUGCCUUGGGAGCGGGGAAUGACCUAUCAGGUUGUUGGUGAGGUAAUGGCUCACCAAGCCUUAGACGGGUAGCGGGUGUGAGAGCACGACCCGCCGCAUCGGGACUAAGACACUGCCCGGACUCCUACGGGAGGCUGCAGUAACGAAUCUUCCGCAAUGCACGAAAGUGUGACGGGGCAAUACCGCGUGUGGGAUGAAGCCCUUCGGGGUGUAAACCACUGUCAGGGUUCAGGAAAAAAAUGACCAGACCCAAAGGAAGGGCCGGCUAACUCUGUGCCAGCAGCCGCGGUAAUACAGAGGGCCCGAGCGUUAAUCGGAAUCACUGGGCUUAAAGCGUACGCAGGCGGACUUGUAGGCAUUUUGUGAAAUCCCUCGGCUCAACCGGGGAAUUGCAGAGUGAACCACAAGUCUUGAGGCGAGUAGAGGCGGUCGGAACGAUAGGUGGAGCGGUGAAAUGCGUAGAUAUCUAUCGGAACGCCAAAGGUGAAGACAGGCCGCUGGGCUCGUCCUGACGCUGAGGUACGAAAGCGUGGGUAGCGAACGGGAUUAGAUACCCCGGUAGUCCACGCCGUAAACGAUGCACACUANGUCGGGGAGGUUUGACGCCCUCCUGGCCGAAGCAAAAGUGUUAAGUGUGCCGCCUGGGGAGUACGGUCGCAAGGCUAAAACUCAAAUGAAUUGACGG